GGGUUGUGAGGUUAAGCGACUAAGCGUACACGGUGGAUGCCCUGGCAGUCAGAGGCGAUGAAGGACGUGCUAAUCUGCG
rnacentral:rRNA from 12 species